rnacentral:rRNA from 1 species
CCGCACAAGCGGUGGAGCAUGUGGUUUAAUUCGAAGCAACGCGAAGAACCUUACCAGGACUUGACAUCCCUUGACGUCCCAAGAGAUUGGGAGUUCCUUCGGGACAAGGAGACAGGUGGUGCAUGGUUGUCGUCAGCUCGUGUCGUGAGAUGUUGGGUUAAGUCCCGCAACGAGCGCAACCCUUAUGAUCAGUUACUAACGCGUAGAGGCGAGGACUCUGAUGAGACCGCCGGGGACAACUCGGAGGAAGGUGGGGACGACGUCAAAUCAUCAUGCCCCUUAUGACCUGGGCUACACACGUGCUACAAUGGUGGCAACAAAGAGGGGCGAAACCGCAAGGUAGAGCGGAUCUCAAAAAAGCCAUCUCAGUUCGGAUUGUGGGCUGCAACCCGCCCACAUGAAGUUGGAGUUGCUAGUAAUCGCGGAUCAGAAUGCCGCGGUGAAUACGUUCCCGGGCCUUGUACACACCGCCCGUCACACCAUGGGAGUUGGGAGCACCCGAAGUCAGUGUGGUAACCGCGAGGGGCCAGCUGCCGAAGGUGAGACUGAUGACUGGGGUG